rnacentral:rRNA from 1 species
UACGGGGGGAGCAAGCGUUGUUCGGAUUUACUUGGCGUAAAGGGCGCGUAGGCGGUCAGCACAAGUCAGUUGUGAAAUCUCCGGGCUUAACUCGGAAAGGUCAACUGAUACUGUGCGACUAGAGUGCGGAAGGGGCAACUGGAAUUCUCGGUGUAGCGGUGAAAUGCGUAGAUAUCGAGAGGAACACCUGCGGCGAAGGCGGGUUGCUGGGCCGACACUGACGCUGAUGCGCGAAAGCCAGGGGAGCGAACGGG